UGAAGAGCAGCUGAGACAUCCAACCUCACAAAAUGAACAAUUACCAGAUGUUUGAAUUGGACCAUAACCUACGUUGGUGAAACACUGAAGUAGGCAACUCUAGGGGUCUCGUGACCCUGAAUAUGUGCCGCGGAGAAGAAACUGCUCACAUUCAAGACUGUGGAAAUACAAGAAGCAAAAAUGUGCAACAGAAUGUUCAACAUUGCCCAGGGCUUGCUUCCCCAACAGCACCCCAUUGUCCUGGAAAGUCAGGCUCCUGUAUUUGAUACCAGUGGAAGCUGAGCUGGAGAACAGCUAGGCAGAAGGAGAGCACAGCACUCCCAUCAUGCAUUCUGACUCCCAUUGUCCCUAAGACUCACUUUAAAGAUGAAGAACUGACCAGAUCAGCCAGAUCGAAAGCAGAUGGAAGAGCUAGAUGUGGCCAGCACACGGGAAGGGUAAAACAGAAGCACAGGGACAAAUUCAAGGACAACCUGGUCUAUCUACAUAAUGAGUUCCAGGACUGUACAGGGAGAUCCUGCCUCAAAAACAAAACAACAACCACCAAAAAGAAAGCAAACAUCAUCAUCAUCAACAACAACAAAGCCCAUGCUUAGACUGUCUCCAUGCACCCGCUUUGGAUUCUCAGACUCG
rnacentral:lncRNA from 1 species